AAAAAUAUUCGGCCCACGGAGGCCAACCCCCUGAUCACGUGGCCCUCAAAAAAAGGAGGCCCCCCCCGUUGUGGCUCCCGCUCGUCGCGAGGGUUGGCGUGUUGUUUCUCCGCGUGGCGAAGAGCCCCGGGGCGCGUGUGUGCGCGCGCGCGCGCGAUUCGUUUAGACUCGGCUGCGAUUGAGCGCCUUCCAGCACGAUCGGAUAGGCCUCGCCUUGCCAGGUUCGUCCGCGGAUUCGCUGGGCUCCUUCGUUCUUCUGACCCGAAAAGUGUGAUGAAACAAAGAUUAGACUCCGACGAGUGGGCACCUUCUAGCGGACGGUACCGAGGGCUGUGAGUGGUAGACGUUUGGCAGAGACAUCAUUGCUUCGGAUUUUCCUCAAACGGAUAGUAUAGAUACCCUGUUUCUCUGAAAAUACAACUUGCCCUGAAAAGCAAUUCAGACUGCUAAUAAGGUCCCAAGAAAUCUGAUCUGCAACCUGUUGCUUGGAAGAGAAGAUACCAGGGAGAGAACAGUGGUGACAUCCCCUCUUGGUUUUGGAUUAUCCCCCAGGGAAUGUUUUUCAUCAGAAAAAAAAGUUCCAAAUCAUGCCUUAAAGAAACCUUAUUUAAAAAGCUGCAAUAUGGAUUACAUAGUACCUGGAAAAGAAAUUUAUUAUAACUACUGAAUAAAAGUUACCUUAAUGCUUGAUGAUUCAAAUUUUUGCAUUUGCUCAAUUUCCUAUGUCACUAAUUUUGAAAGCUAUUACUUAUAUAAUUAUACUUAAGAAUAAUAUAAACAUUUAUUUUCUACCUCAAGAAAAUAGGGGCUCAAUAGCUAUUCAGAUGCUGAAGUAUUACAGGUUUCAUAAAGUUGAACCAGAAAGAUUGUUAAUAGUUCAGCAGUAGCAGAACAGUCUUAAAUUUUCCAAACCAACCUCCAAAAAUACCCCAUACGUAACAAGCUAUGUUGAAUCAAUUCUGAAAAUAGAAACUUAUGCUACUAGAAGGCAAAUAGUAAAAUAUCUCCUACUAUUACUUUUCAAUAACAUUAUUUCAGCCUAUUGAUAAGAGGAAAGAAAAGAAAUGUCAUGAGUAGUACUGCCUGCCAUUUGGCAUCUUUGGUCUUGUGUGUUCAACUAUGUAUAAGGUCUCCUGUUAAACAUCUUAA